rnacentral:lncRNA from 1 species
UGGGUCAUAUUACCUGUGUGUGAAAUUAUUGGAUGUCAUCAUCAGAUGUGUUAAAUCCAGGGUGUCUUAUCAUCAGUAUUGUCUAAAUUUAAGGUAUCAAUAUUAGUGGUGCUUGAUUUCAUGAUGUCAACGUCAGUGAUGUGCCAACUUUGGUUGUAGUCAUCAGUGGUUAAUUGAAUUGAUAUUGUCACAAUUAGUGGUGAUUGAUUUUAGAGCGUCACAAUCACUUGUGUUACAUAUUUAGGGUGUUAAUAUCUUUGGAGCAUACAUUUCGGUUGUUGUCGUCAGUGGUAUGUGAAACAGGGUGUCGUAUUAAGUGAUGAUUGGAUAAAGCGUGUUGCUACCAGUGGUGUGAUAUUUCAAAGUUUCACCCUCAAAAGAGGUAUGAUUUAAGAAUACUAACAU